AGUGACAGAGUGAGGAAGGGGGUGACUAGUGACAGAGGGAGGGGUGACUAGGGACAGAGUGAGGGAGGUGGUGACUAGUGACAGUCACCACCUCCCUCACUCUGUCACUAGUCACCCCCUCCCUCACUCUGUCACUGUGUCACCCCCUCCCUCUGUCACUGGUCACCAGUCAUCCCCUCACUUUGUCACUAGUAACCCCUUCCUUCCCUCACUCUGCCACUAGUCACCCCUUUCCUCACUCUGCCACUAGUCACCCCUUUCCUCACUCUGUCACCU